rnacentral:rRNA from 1 species
AGAGUUUGAUCCUGGCUCAGGAUGAACGCUGGCGGCGUGCUUAACACAUGCAAGUCGAGCGAAGCAGUUAAGUUGAUUUCUUCGGAUUGAUUCUUAACUGACUGAGCGGCGGACGGGUGAGUAACGCGUGGGUGACCUGCCCCAUACCGGGGGAUAACAGCUGGAAACGGCUGCUAAUACCGCAUAAGCGCACAGAGCUGCAUGGCUCGGUGUGAAAAACUCCGGUGGUAUGGGAUGGGCCCGCGUCUGAUUAGGCAGUUGGCGGGGUAACGGCCCACCAAACCGACGAUCAGUAGCCGGCCUGAGAGGGCGACCGGCCACAUUGGGACUGAGACACGGCCCAAACUCCUACGGGAGGCAGCAGUGGGGAAUAUUGCACAAUGGGGGAAACCCUGAUGCAGCGACGCCGCGUGAGCGAAGAAGUAUUUCGGUAUGUAAAGCUCUAUCAGCAGGGAAGAUAAUGACGGUACCUGACUAAGAAGCCCCGGCUAACUACGUGCCAGCAGCCGCGGUAAUACGUAGGGGGCAAGCGUUAUCCGGAUUUACUGGGUGUAAAGGGAGCGUAGACGGCAAGGCAAGUCUGAUGUGAAAACCCAGGGCUUAACCCUGGGACUGCAUUGGAAACUGUCUGGCUCGAGUGCCGGAGAGGUAAGCGGAAUUCCUAGUGUAGCGGUGAAAUGCGUAGAUAUUAGGAAGAACACCAGUGGCGAAGGCGGCUUACUGGACGGUAACUGACGUUGAGGCUCGAAAGCGUGGGGAGCAAACAGGAUUAGAUACCCUGGUAGUCCACGCC